rnacentral:sRNA from 1 species
UGCAUUGUUAGGAAGUACAGUAGAUGG